AUGGCCUGUGCUCUAGUCCCUAACCAGGAGUGGUACCUGGAGGGAAAAAUAGUAUUCUCUGUGCGGCAGCUCGGCCCAGGAUACUUGGAGAACAGAGACGAAAAGAAUGUCAAGGGGAGGAAACAAGGAGAGCCGAGAAAAGGGGCUGUGAAAACCGUCUUCAUUUUUCUUCCAUCCCUUCAAUGGCCUGGGAAAAGCCUGGAAGAUGCUUCUGUCAGGUACUACCUUUGGAAUACAACCCACCAGGAAGAACAGGGAGAAUUUUCUUUUCCAUUUCUCUUCCCAGCUCUUUCCCCAGAUGGGAGGCCUGAGGGCUGUGUAGGAAGAUAACCAGGUGCUGAAGUGCUGCUUUUAAUUGCUGUGAGCUGGGCCUUCCUCCUGUCUCUGUUUAUUUAUCCUGAACAGAAGGGCAGGCACCUGGAGGAAUAGGUUCAUAGUUCCUACCUGGGGCCUUUGCUGGGGCCCCUGCUGAAAAGCAGCCUGAGGACGGAAACUGUUUAGAACAGUGGAGAGUCCUGUCUGAAUGUGCUGUAGGCAGCUGCAGGGAAAGCGUGAGGGAGUCUGGGAAAUGAGCACAUCUGUCCCCCAGGGGUCUCCACUGGUGUUUUCAGACUAAUGCAUAUACCCUUUCAGCUGCCAUCACAGGAGAGGGACGCGUCACCAGGAACCCCCCCUAUGCUACAGGUCAGCACAUUUAACCCUCCAGCAGUCCCGAGAAAGCCAAUGACUGUCAUUCCCACUUGGUCUUCGGGGACUCCAAGGCUCAGAGACAUCGAGUAACUUCUCCAGAUUUACACAGCUAGUCCGUGGAAAAGGAUUCCAGAACUGUCUCCCCUCUGGGGGAACGUUACUUCUUGUCCCUUCUUGUUGUAUUGUGUUCUGUCCUUCCUGCAUGCUUGGGUGCACGCAGGUAUUGUGCUUCCUUUGCACAACUCUUGACAGCACUCAAGAAGAAGAAGAAGAUGUAGACACUAAAAAAGUGGCACGGAGACUGUCGGUCAUAUGGUGCCGUGUGUAUACGGGCCUGGCGGCUGCAGAAACAAUAACUAGAGUAGCCAAGAUGUGGGUCAUUCCUCUCCCUAGGAGGGGACGGUUUGUGUUUGCCAGCUUCAAGAAGCCCACCAGCUUCUUGCAAAAGACAUCAUUAGAUGAAAGUCAGCUCUUCCCACCUCCGUAAACCAAACCAAAUAAAGCCAUUUGGACUUGAUGUUCAGAAACUCUCCACUCUACAGUAUUAAUUCAUGAAAAGAAAAGAAAAAGGGAAAGACCCAUUCCUUGGACAAGAUGUGAGUUUCCAUUUUUAAAUGGUAUGAUUUCAAAUGCUAAAAGGGCAGAGUGAAACUAGGGCACACCAGAAGGAAUUUCCCCAAGUAUGGCCCUUGUUCAGUGGGUCCACUGUGCUCACACACUGUGGGCUUACGCUCUGUGGCAUGGUUGAAGGGACAAUGGCAGGACGAGAAGAAAUACCCAGGCUCCCAGCACUGUUCUUCUGGGUAUUCCAGUCACCAAACCUUUAGUGAGUGCUUGCCUUUCUCCAGACCUACACUAGGUGCUAGGCAUGCAAAGUGAGAUUCUCAACAUAUUCUUGUGUGUCUUUCAGAAACUGUAAAAACGGUGUAAGGUAUUUAAUAAUUAGGUUGGUUACAAAAAGGAGAAAGGUGAGGAGGAGAAGAAAGAGGAGAAGAGAAAUCAAGUGUUGGCGAGGAUGUGGGGCAAAGGGAACACUUGUAUCCUGUUGGUGGGAAUGUUAAGUGGUGUGGCCCCUGUGGGGAAACAAUAUGGCGGUUCUUCAAAAAAAUAAAUAAAUAAAGGCCAUAUGAUCUAGCAAUUCCAUUUCUGGGUAUACCCCAAAGAAUUUUAUUUUAAUACCCAAAAGAAUUAAAAACAGGGUCUCAAAGAGAUAUUUGUACCUCCAUGUUCAUAACAGCAUUAUUCACAAUGCCCCAAAGGUGGAAACAACACAACAGUCCGUCUUUGGAUGAGUGGAUAAGCAAAGUGGGAUCUAUCCGUACAACGGAAUACUAUUUAGCCUUAAAAACGAAGGAAAUUCUGACACAUGCUACAGCACAGCUGUACCUGGAAGACAUCAUGGUAAGUGACAUAAGCCAGUCAGAAAAGAACAAAUACUACAUAAUCCCACUUGUACAAGGAACCUAGAAUAGUCAGAUCCACAGGGACGGAAAUUGGAACGGUGGUGGCUAGGAGCUGAGCAGAAGGAGGCAAGAAGAGUCAUUGUUUCAUGCAUACAGACUUCUGGCUUUGCAAGGGGAAAGGGUUCUGGAGAGGGAUGGUGGAGAUGGUUGCACUGAAGUCAAUGUACUAAGUGCCACGGAAUCGUACACUUAAAAAUGGCCAAGAUGGUAAAUGUUAUGUGCAUGUCACCACAGUAAAAUAGAAAAUAAAAUAGAAAUCCCCAAAGCAGUCCUGCACAAUCGGUUUCAUUCACCUCAUUUUCCAAGCGAGGAAAGCAAGGUGCAGAGAAGUGAAGUAGCUUGCAAGGGCCACACAGCAGAGUGGACUCUCGAGAAAGGCUGCCCUGCCCACCCCUCCACCGAGCUGCCUGGUACCCGCUGGGGGGCCAAGGAUGCCACACAUAUACAUGCCGAAGCCGCACGGCUUCAUCUCCUCUCUGUGCCCUUUUCUUUCUCUAGACCACCAUCCUUCUAACGCUGCCUUUCCCAGUGUCCUUAUUCUUUCUGCUGCCUUCCCCUCAUCAAAAGGUGCUCUCAGGAAAAAAAAAAAAAAAACAAAACAAAAAACCGAGCACUCGUUUAUACCUAAGUUACAUGGUGUGAAUUUAAAUCAGUAUGCCACCUCUCCAAGGGGUGCUUGCAUUUUAAGCCUCAUCACCCUGUAUGAGAUGAAAGCCUUUGUUCCAUAUUAAAGGAAUUUCAGGCAUCAGGGAGAGGGCGGGAAGGAUCUGGAAGGGUGGUGGUGGCAGGCAGGGCAGAACGCAGAGAAACGCAGUAAACGGGGGAACCUGAGUCACGCGGUUAAGAAGGGAGAUCUAGCCUCUGCCUUCGGCUCGGGUCAUGGUCCCAGGGUCCUGGGAUCGAGCCCCGCAUGAGGCUCUCCGCUCCGCGGGGGGCCUGCUUCCUCCUCUCUCUCUGCCUUUCAGGGCUCAACCACCUUGUGGGGUGUGGAUACAAGGCAGGUAGGUGGACCUUCAUGUUAAACCCUCCCCUUCAAGCAGGCUCGGUCGUCUGAGCUCUGGACCGCACGCAGUCCUGCUUGGCCUCAGAACUUGCAUGCUCUCAAGAGAAUUGAUUUGCUCGGGGCUUCCUUUGCCUGACAGUUCUCAAUGCCUCUGCUCUUCUUGUUAUAUCAUGAAAUUCUAGUCUCAAGCCACCGGGUGCCGUAGUCAGAGAUCUCUGUGCAGAGAACCUGAGCUUUCACGCCUUUAGUACAAGAGGUCACUUCAUAUACACAUUAACCCAGUAAGUUGUGUAGACUCAAAGGCCAACCACUGGGAUGUGAAAGCCUGUCUUCUGGGCGCUCACAACCAAGACUGGGAAUUCCCAGGGAGUGGAACAGACAUACCAAUAGCAUCCAGGUCAAGAGCCUGAGCUCUGAGUCAGGUGUCUGGUCUGUGUCCCUAUUCCUCCGCCUGCCAGCUGUGUGACCUUUGGGAAGUUGCGUUGCUUCUUUGUGUCCCUUAGUUUCUUAAUCUCUGCAAUGGGAAUAGUAAGACAUCUCUCUCACAGGGGAGCAAGGCUCCAAAUGUAGCAGUUCUGGCUGCUGUCUUUGUGUGAAGAACAAUUUUUGCUCCCCCGAGAUGAAGCCUCUUCCUCAGCACAGCCCUUGGUGGGCGAGGGCAAGGGUAGACUUUAGUCCCACUUGCCUCCUCAGCCAGACAACAGAUGACACAACUAAUGACACCACUAUACUGUGCAGGCCCGCGGGAGGAG
ensembl:lincRNA